GAGCAUUACAGCUCUUUUAGAAUUUGUCUAGCAGGUUUUCGGGUCCUCACCAGAAGAGCCCGC
ensembl:snRNA U7 U7 small nuclear RNA